rnacentral:rRNA from 1 species
CUUGUUGGUGGGGUAAUGGCCCACCAAGGCAUUGAUGGGUAGUUGGUCUGAGAGGACGACCAGCCACAUUGGGACUGAGAUACGGCCCAGACUCCUACGGGAGGCAGCAGUGGGGAAUCUUGGACAAUGGGGGAAACCCUGAUCCAGCGACACCGCGUGGGGGAUGAAGGCUUUCGGGUUGUAAACCCCUUUUCUGGGGGAAGAAUAAGGUUGGGAGGAAAUGCCCAUCCGAUGACGGUACUCCAGGAAUAAGCAUCGGCAAACUUCGUGCCAGCAGCCGCGGUAAGACGAAGGAUGCGAGCGUUAUCCGGAAUUACUGGGCGUAAAGGGCGUCUAGGCGGUUGGGUAAGUCACUUGUGAAAGCCCUCGGCUUAACCGAGGAAAGUCUCGUGAUACUGCCCAGCUUGGGUGUAGGAGAGGGGAGUGGAACUCACAGAGUAGCGGUGGAAUGCGUAGAUACUGUGAGGUACCCCGAUGGCGAAGGCAACUCCCUGGCCUACUACCGACGCUGAAGCGCGAAAGCGUGGGGAGCAAAGGGGAUUAGAUACCCCCGUAGUCCACGCCCCAAAACGAUGUUCACUUGUGUCGGCCGCAAAUAUAGGUCGGUGCCGGAGCUAACGCGUUAAGUGAACCGCCUGAGGAGUACGGCCGCAAGGCUAAAACUCAAGAGAAUUGACGGGUCCCCGCACAAGCGGUGGAGCACGUGGUUUAAUUCGAUUUAAGCGAAGAACCUCACCCAGGCUUGACAUACUAGUGGUAGGAACCUGAAAGGGGGACGACCCUGCCUUCGGGUAGGGAGCUAGUACAGGUGAUGCAUGGCUGUCGUCAGCUCGUGUCGUGGGAUGUAGGGUUAAGUCCCGAAACGAGCGCAACCCUUGUCGUUAGUUGCCAGCGGGUAAUGCCGGGGACUCUAGCGAGACUGCUGGUGAAUAGCCGGAGGAAGGCGGGGAUGACGUCAAGUCAUCAUGUCCCUUAUGCCUGGGGCGACACACAUGCUACAAUGGGGGGUACAGAGGGUCGCAAUACCGUAAGGUGGAGCCAAUCUCAAAAAACCCUCCUCAGUUCGGAUUGAGGUCUGCAACUCGACCUCAUGAAGCCGGAAUCGCUAGUAAUCGUAGGUCAGCCAUACUACGGUGAAUAUGUACUCGGGGAUUGUACACACCGCCCGUCACACCAACCGAGUGGGGGGUACCUGAAGUCGUCUCCAUGAGGCGCCGAGGGUAACCUUCGCAAGA